rnacentral:rRNA from 1 species
UAGGGAAUAUUGGACAAUGGGGGCAACCCUGAUCCAGCCAUGCCGCGUGAGUGAAGAAGGCCCUCGGGUUGUAAAGCUCUUUUGUCCGGAAAGAAAAGCUUCGGGUUAAUACCCCGGGGUUCUGACGGUACCGGAAGAAUAAGCACCGGCUAACUUCGUGCCAGCAGCCGCGGUAAUACGAAGGGUGCAAGCGUUACUCGGAAUUACUGGGCGUAAAGCGUGCGUAGGUGGUUUUCUAAGUUCGGUGUGAAAUCUCCCGGCUUAACUGGGAGGGUGCUCCAAAGACUGGGAAGCUGGAGUGUGGGAAAGGCAGGCGGAAUUCCUGGUGUAGCGGUGAAAGGCGUAGAUAUCAGGAGGAACACCGGCGGUGUAGACGGCUUGCUAGACCAUAACUGACGCUGAGGCACGAAAGCGUGGGUAGCAAACA